CCCGCCGGCGACCGGCGCACGGGUGAGUAACACGUAUGCAACCUGGCCGCCACAGGGGGAUAACCCGCGGAAACGCGGCCUAAUACCCCGUGACGCCACCGGAGGGCAUCCUCCGGUGGCCAAAGGAGCGAUCCGGUGGCGGAUGGGCAUGCGGCGCAUUAGCUAGACGGCGGGGUGACGGCCCACCGUGGCGACGAUGCGUAGGGGUUCUGAGAGGAAGGCCCCCACACUGGGACUGAGACACGGCCCAGACUCCUACGGAAGGCAGCAG
rnacentral:rRNA from 1 species